GAGCGCUGUAACUUUAGUAGGAGCUCUCCAUGAAGUCUCCCGGGUGGGGGUGGGGGUGGGGGGGGGGGAAAUGGAAGGUCUGGGCACCAGCCCUGAGGCAAGCCUUGCAGUGAGUGAGACUCAUAAUAUUAGAAUGUAGAUUGUGCCUCGCAAAGCAACACCGGACGUUUUAACUACCAUUUAUCUUUUAAGCUGCUGUUUCAUUUUGCCUGUUAAUUCCUAAGUGGCCUGGGGCCCGGAUUUGCUUAAUUCAGGCCCCAGGGAAAUAUUACAAAACCAGGGUCGUGAAGCUAGUGAACUGUGCAACACACGGAAAUCAGGCCCAGGUGCAUCAGAUUUUUAGUCCUGAGUGGCUGCAAGGGGGCCUGUCCAUUAUGAAUCUGGAAGCCCUCUAUGGUUAAGGAUUAUUUCACAGAUUCCCUGAAAGUAGAAGAAAAGUUGAGAAAGAACAGAAGAGACAGCUUGUCUUUAUCAACUUUGUUUCUUUUCCUGCUCUCUGAAGAACACAGCAACUCAAGCUGACCAACUGAAGAAAGCUCAGUGAGCAGAGGAUAUCCUGAUGGACCAAAUGCUCAAUAAGUCCAUGAUUUCUCUGGGUGGGACACAUAUCUGGACUCUUUGUUCUCUGAAACCCUGGCACAUUUGGAAAUCAGCCUGUUAUUAUAAUUACUGAGUGUUUAUUAAAUACAAAGAAUAGGGAGCCGACAAAGGUCCUGUGCACAUAAAACACUGAAAAACAAUGCGUUGGGGACGCCUAGGUGGCUCAGUGGUUGAGCUUCUGCCUUGGCUCAGGUCAUGAUCCUGGAGCCCGGGGAUCAAGUCCCACAUCGGGCUCCCCACAGGGAGCCUGCUUCUCCCUCUGCCUAUGUCUCUGCCUCUCUCUCUCUCUCUCUCUCUCUCUCUCAUGAAUAAGUAAAUAAAAUCUUCAAAAAGCAAGAAAAGAAAAACA
rnacentral:lncRNA from 12 species